rnacentral:rRNA from 1 species
UACGUAGGGUGCAAGCGUUGUCCGGAAUUAUUGGGCGUAAAGAGCUCGUAGGCGGCUUGUCGCGUCGGCUGUGAAAACCUGGGGCUCAACCCCGGGCCUGCAGCCGAUACGGGCAAGCUAGAAUUCGGUAGGGGAGACUGGAAUUCCUGGUGUAGCGGUGAAAUGCGCAGAUAUCAGGAGGAACACCUGCGGCGAAGGCGGCAUCCUGGACCAAUACUGACGCUGAGGAGCGAAAGCCAGGGGAGCAAACGGG